UUUCUGCCACCGAAUACAUUAGCAUGGGAUAAUGGAAUAGGACCCUGUCCUCCUCUUUUCAGUUGGUUAAUUUUACGUGUGGGGAACGGGGAUGAGAAUUAUGGGGAUUUUUGGGGGUUUUUAUUUUUUUUUGAUAGAUGAAAAUUUUUUGUUUUUUAAAAAUUAAAUUUUCUGAAAACAUCUGUGCCAGAGAUUUUUUUUUUUCUCAAAAAAAAAUUUUGGGAUCGAAAACAAUAACAUACCCCCUCAUACUUAAAAACAAAAAAUACCCACCACCGCUAAUAAGAAACUUAAAACAAAAAACCCCCCCCUGCGCAAUUCCCCUUGGGGCAUCCUCACGGGUGUUGUGUGUUGAUUGUGUAUGGGCUAUGAGUGAAUGACUCCCCUAACAUCGUUGAGAAAA
rnacentral:rRNA from 1 species